UACGUAGGGUGCAAGCGUUAAUCGGAAUUACUGGGCGUAAAGCGUGCGCAGGCGGUUUUGUAAGACCGAUGUGAAAUCCCCGGGCUUAACCUGGGAACUGCAUUGGUGACUGCAAGGCUUGAGUGUGUCAGAGGGAGGUGGAAUUCCGCGUGUAGCAGUGAAAUGCGUAGAUAUGCGGAGGAACACCGAUGGCGAAGGCAGCCUCCUGGGGAUAACACUUGACGCUCAUUGCACGAAAGCGUGGGGAGCAAACGGG
rnacentral:rRNA from 1 species